AACUCAUUGAGAGGCUCCUCAAGAACUCAUCAUAUCAAGGUACUAUACUUUUCCUAGCUAUAAAACAGAUAAAAGAAAAGGGGAAAAAUUUCCCUUCAUGGGUCUCAUUGUUUCAUGUGUUUAGGUUCUGUUUUGAUUGGAUUCUGAAUGUGUCUUGUAUAAUUGCAGUUACUACAGUUGAUUCCGGUAAUAGCUCUAGAAUUUCUUAUUCAGUAAAACGAAUGAAAAAAAAGAAAAAAUAAUAUAAUUUAAGCUAUAUUCACUCUGAAGGAGUUGUUAAUCAUCACAAGAAAGUAGGUUCUCCUGCAGCAAUAUUGAGGUAUAAGGCCGAACCACCCAAUGAAGUAACUCACUUUAUUGACAGAUUAAAAUUCCUCAUAUGACAACAUCCCAAUAACCCAAUUGCACUAAUUAGUUAGAAAUUAGAACAUUCAUUGGAGAGACUUACAAUAUCUUUUUAGAUAGUAAACCUUUCUGUUGCUUGAUUAAAAGCCCAAAAUCUCCUCUUUAAUCUGUUAAGCACUAAACAUGCUCCAAUAGCUGGCGCUGCCUUGCUUCUGGUAUCAAUAGAA
rnacentral:misc_RNA from 1 species